rnacentral:rRNA from 1 species
GACGAACGCUGGCGGCGUGCCUAAUACAUGCAAGUAGAACGCUGAAGAGAGGAGCUUGCUCUUCUUGGAAGAGUUGCGAACGGGUGAGUAACGCGUAGGUAACCUGCCUUGUAGCGGGGGAUAACUAUUGGAAACGAUAGCUAAUACCGCAUAACAAUGGGUGACCCAUGUCAUUCAUUUGAAAGGGGCAACUGCUCCACUACAAGAUGGACCUGCGUUGUAUUAGCUAGUAGGUGAGGUAACGGCUCACCUAGGCGACGAUACAUAGCCGACCUGAGAGGGUGAUCGGCCACACUGGGACUGAGACACGGCCCAGACUCCUACGGGAGGCAGCAGUAGGGAAUCUUCGGCAAUGGGGGCAACCCUGACCGAGCAACGCCGCGUGAGUGAAGAAGGUUUUCGGAUCGUAAAGCUCUGUUGUAAGUCAAGAACGAGUGUGAGAGUGGAAAGUUCACACUGUGACGGUAGCUUACCAGAAAGGGACGGCUAACUACGUGCCAGCAGCCGCGGUAAUACGUAGGUCCCGAGCGUUGUCCGGAUUUAUUGGGCGUAAAGCGAGCGCAGGCGGUUUGAUAAGUCCGAAGUUAAAGGCCGUGGCUCAACCAUAGUUCGCUUUGGAAACUGUCAAACUUGAGUGCAGAAGGGGAGAGUGGAAUUCCAUGUGUAGCGGUGAAAUGCGUAGAUAUAUGGAGGAACACCGGUGGCGAAAGCGGCUCUCUGGUCUGUAACUGACGCUGAGGCUCGAAAGCGUGGGGAGCGAACAGG